rfam:Candidatus Amesbacteria bacterium RIFOXYB1_FTLL_44_23 rifoxyb1_full_scaffold_1982, whole genome shotgun sequence.
GCCGGGGUAGCUCAAUGGUAGAGCAAGGGUAUCGUAAACCCUAGGUUGGGAGUCCGAUUCUCCCCCCCGGCU